rnacentral:rRNA from 1 species
UACGGAGGGGGCAAGCGUUGUCCGGACUUACUGGGCGUAAAGGGUGCGUAGGCGGCCUGCUGCGUCGGUGCUGAAAGCGCCCGGCUCAACUGGGCGGGGUCGGUGGAAACUGGUCACCUGGAGGACGGUAGAGGCGAGUGGAAUUCCCGGUGUAGCGGUGAAAUGCGCAGAUAUCGGGAGGAACACCGGUGGCGAAGGCGGUUCUCUGGGCCUUACCUGACGCUGAGGAGCGAAAGCGUGGGGAGCGAACAGG